rnacentral:rRNA from 1 species
AGCCUAGCAGAAUGGUUUUGGGAAAGCCAGCCAGAGAGGGUGAAAGCCCCGUAAGCGAAAGGCGAGUGAGCAUGGCGGUAUCCAGAGUAGGUCGAGACACGUGGAACCUUGACUGAAGGAGCGGGGACCACCCCGUAAGGCUAAAUACUCCUUAGUGACCGAUAGCGCAUAGUACUGUGAAGGAAAGGUGAAAAGGACCCCGGGAGGGGAGUGAAAGAGAACCUGAAACCCUGUGUUUACAAGCUGUGGAAGAACUUUACAUGUUCAACCGCGUACUUUUUGUAGAACGGUCCGGCGAGUUGCGCUGGCUGGCGAGGUUAAGGACUAUAAGGUCCGGAGCCGAAGGGAAACCAAGUCUUAACAGGGCGGUGAGUCAGUCGGAGCAGACCCGAAACCGGGUGAUCUAUCCAUGUCCAGGAUGAAGUUGCCGUAAAAGGCAAUGGAGGUCCGAACCCACAUCCGUUGAAAAGGGUGGGGAUGAGGUGUGGAUAGGGGAGAAAUUCCAAUCGAACCCGGAGAUAGCUGGUUCUCCUCGAAAUAGCUUUAGGGCUAGCCUCAUGAGAGUCUUUUGGAGGUAGAGCACUGAAUUUCCUAGGGGGCGUCAAAGCUUACCGAAGAAUAUCAAACUCCGAAUGCCAGUAAGAUGAUUCAUGGGAGUCAGACUGCACGAGAUAAGUUGGGCAGUCGAAAGGGAAAGAGCCCAGACCUGCAGCUAAGGUCCCAAAGUAUGUGUUAAGUGGAAAAGGAUGUGGGAUUUCAAAGACAACCAGGAUGUUGGCUUAGAAGCAGCCACACAUUAAAAGAGUGCGUAAUAGCUCACUGGUCGAGAGGUCCUGCGCCGAAAAUGUCCGGGGCUGAAACACAUCACCGAAGCUCAGGAUCCUACGGGAUGGUAGAGGAGCAUUGUUAACCGGACGAAGCGGUACCGGAAGGAGCCGUGGACGGUUAAGAAGAGAGAAUGCCGGAAUGAGUAGCGAGAGGAAGGUGGGAAUCCUUCCGGCCGAAUAUCCAAGGUUUCCAGAGUAAAGCUGAUCUGCUCUGGGUAAGUCGGGGCCUAAGGCGAGGCCGAGAGGCGUAGCCGAUGGACAACAGGUUGAGAUUCCUGUACUACGAUAUGACAGAACUGUGGGGACGCAGGGAGAGAGCACUACCGGGAAUGGAAAGACCGGGGCAAGCGGGGUAGGAGGUAAGCUGGCAAAUCCGCUUACCAAUCUGAAGACGUGACGCAUACCGAACUUAAAGUAGGGAAAUGUGUGAGCUCACUGCCAAGAAAAGCCGCUAUUGUUCAUAGCGUACCCGUACCGUAAACCGACACAGGUGGAUGAGGAGAGAAUCCUAAGGCCGACGGGAGAAGCAUUGUUAAGGAACUCGGCAAAAUGACUCCGUAACUUCGGGAGAAGGAGUGCCUGGGAGACCAGGCCGCAGAGAAUUGGCCCAAGCAACUGUUUAGCAAAAACACAGGUCUAUGCGAAACCGAAAGGUGAUGUAUAUGGGCUGACGCCUGCCCGGUGCUGGAAGGUUAAGGGGAGAGGUUAGCGCAAGCGAAGCUUUGAACUUAAGCCCCAGUAAACGGCGGCCGUAACUAUAACGGUCCUAAGGUAGCGAAAUUCCUUGUCGGGUAAGUUCCGACCCGCACGAAAGGCGUAAUGAUUUGGGCACUGUCUCGACAAUGCACCCGGUGAAAUUGAAGUACCAGUGAAGAUGCUGGUUACCUGCGCCAGGACGGAAAGACCCCAUGGAGCUUUACUCCAGCUUGAUACUGGGACUCGGUAUUGUAUGUACAGGAUAGGUGGGAGGCUAAGAAGUGGUGACGCCAGUUGCCACGGAGCCGCUGUUGGGAUACCACCCUUGCAGUGCUGGGUUUCUAACCUGCGGCCGUGAUCCGGCCGGGGGACAAUGUCAGGUGGGGAGUUUGACUGGGGCGGUCGCCUCCGAAAGGGUAUCGGAGGCGCUCAAAGGUUCCCUCAGAAUGGUUGGAAACCAUUCGCAGAGUGCAAAGGCAGAAGGGAGCUUGACUGCGACACCGACGGGUGGAGCAGGUACGAAAGUAGGACUUAGUGAUCCGGUGGUAUAAAGUGGGAUUGCCAUCGCUCAACGGAUAAAAGCUACCCUGGGGAUAACAGGCUUAUCACUCCCAAGAGUUCACAUCGACGGAGUGGUUUGGCACCUCGAUGUCGGCUCAUCGCAUCCUGGGGCUGAAGUAGGUCCCAAGGGUUGGGCUGUUCGCCCAUUAAAGCGGUACGCGAGCUGGGUUCAGAACGUCGUGAGACAGUUCGGUCCCUAUCCGGCGUGGGCGUAGGAUAUUUGAGAGGAGCUGUCCUUAGUACGAGAGGACCGGGAUGGACUGGCCGCUGGUGUAUCUGUUGACUUACCAAGGUCAUGGCAGAGUAGCCAAGCCGGGAAGGGAUAAACGCUGAAGGCAUCUAAGCGUGAAGCCCCCCUCAAGAUGAGAUAUCCCUACG